UUACAGGGUAAUUUAAUCUUAAAGUAUUUUUCUUCUUCUAAAUUUCAUUUAGUUUAUGAAAAUCUUAUCUCUGAUUUUUUCUACUUUGGUCACCCCAAUUAUUUAAGUCUAGUUCCGCCACUGUAAUAGAGAUAUUCUUUCUUAUGGGGAGUGAUCAAAGGCCUCCAGUUAGCCCAUAAGCUACGAACCAACAAGCUGAUGGUGGAAAUUGACUCACGGGAGCAUUUGAUCUGAUCACCCUUUAUUGCCAUGGCUCUCACCCUUGUUUCGAUAUGAUAACAGAGGUAACAAAGUUGGCCUCUCAAGAAGCGGUUGUAUCUUUCCACUAUUUUAACUGUGCUGCUAAUGGAUCUGCAGAUAAGAUUGGCUAAACAAGGGCAUGAAGUAGAUUGAUUUAUUUCAGUUUAGUAGUGAGGAUAUCCCUUAUUUUCUUAUUUCCUUCCUAAGGAAUGAUGUAAUGGGAUCUUUGAUCUCUUAGCCUUUUGUGUUUUCGGGCUUCGGCCCGUCCCAUUAUAAAAAUUAAAAAAAAAGGAAAACUAAAAAGAUAUAAAGAAAUACAAACCCUAGUUCAAGUUGAAUCUGUACUUGAACAUAUAUCUACUCGCUCCUUCAACCUCAUCAUCGCAUCACCCCUUCCUCGUUCUCUUCCAUCUGUAAGCUUCGCUUUGAUUCUUAUUCUCCUGACUCCGAUUCUUCAUCUCAAUCGCAAUUGCCAGAUCCUGUGAUUGAUACGUUCAAGGUCUUUAUGCUCAAUAUUUUGGAAUCGAUCUGCAACUCAUACGACAGUUUGAUUUAUCGAACCGUCGAUAAUUUGAAAAACCCUUCAAUCUGUUUGAUUGAAAAUUGAUUAAUGACAGUUUGAUAUAUUCUUGUUCUUCAUCCUCUUCUGUUGGGUUUGGAACUCCCAUCCAAUCAGAGAGAAUGAAGAUUUGAAGCUCACCUGUGGGGCAAGAGUUCCAAGGAGGGGAAGACAGAAUAAGUAACUGGGGGACCCCGGGAGUUUCGUCUACAUUUGGUUUUAGUGGUUCGUGAUGAUUAUUGCCUUGUUGUGUCUGUGAGAGAUGACACAGCUGAGGAUGAGGAGGGGUACUCAAUCCCUUGUGGUCACAUGUUUCAUCAUGUCUGUAUUUUAACCUGGUUGCUAACCAGUGACAAGUGCCCUGUUUGCCGCUUCUCUUUGCACCUAUCGUGACCACUAAGGGAAAACAGGUAAUUAUUGAUAGCUCCAAAGAAUUUUAGACUAAGCCAUCAACACCGUUUAUUAUUGUUGAUUAAGUUUUGUUUUUAAUUUUUCAAUAACUGAUUUGAAUAAGGUAAUUUUAUAGUGGCAGGGCACCUAAUUUUAUUGC